GCUGUGAUGGAUAAGUAUGGUAACGCUGUCCGUGUCAUUAAUUGUUGUCUUCCCUGAUGGGGGAGACGUUCAGAUUUUUGCCAGGAGAAAAAAGGAGGUGAAUGGGACUUCAUGCUUCUCAGUCUCCAGAUAGGUGUUUAUUAAUUCUUAUCUAAGGAGUACAAGCCACUGGCAUGGCUUAUACAUAGCACAGAGCAGAGAAUGCAGCAAGAAGACAACUUAUCAAGAUUUCACAGCCUUUUUAAAGGUAAAUUACCC